rnacentral:rRNA from 1 species
UACGUAGGAGGCGAGCGUUGUCCGGAGUUACUGGGCGUAAAGGGUGCGCAGGUGGCCGUGCGCGUGGGGAGUGAAAUCGCCUGGCUUAACUGGGCGGGGGCUUUCCAGACGGCGCGGCUUGAGCCGCAGAGGGGGGUGGAAUUCCACGUGUAGCAGUGAAAUGCGUAGAGAUGUGGAGGAACGCCGAUGGCGAAGGCAGCCCCCUGGGCUGAGAUUGACGCUCAGGCACGAAAGCGUGGGGAGCAAACAGG